UACGAAGGGUGCAAGCGUUAAUCGGAAUUACUGGGCGUAAAGCGUGCGCAGGCGGUUUUGUAAGUCUGUUGUGAAAUCCCCGGGCUUAACCUGGGAAUUGCAAUGGAGACUGCAAGGCUGGAGUCUGGCAGAGGGGGGUAGAAUUCCACGUGUAGCAGUGAAAUGCGUAGAGAUGUGGAGGAACACCGAUGGCGAAGGCAGCCCCCUGGGUCAAGACUGACGCUCAUGCACGAAAGCGUGGGGAGCAAACAGG
rnacentral:rRNA from 1 species